rnacentral:tRNA from 1 species
GGAGAGAUGACCGAGCUGGCUGAAGGUGCACGCCUGGAAAGCGUGUGUACUUUAACGGGUACCGAGGGUUCGAAUCCCUCUCUCUCCGCCA